CCUCUGGAGUCACGCCGCGCCCCCUGCCGGGCACCGUGAGGUGAUGGCGGGGCCGGGCCGUGCCCGAGACGCCCCGCGGUUGCCUUUAGGCACCGAUGUGCCCCACGGGCUUCACGAGAUUACUGACGCGAGUGUCCGUAAGCGAGUGCGACGGACGGAACCCGGAGGUGCUUUCCCAGCCCCGGGGCCCUCAGCCGCGGUGUCCCAGAGGGCCGCGCUGUGUGGGGCCGCACCGCAGGAGCUCGGCUGUGCGUCGCUGCCUCCCAGGUAAGCGCUGCGGAGCGGCGGUGGCUGUGAGGUGCGGCGGGCCGCACGCACCGUGCCGGCACCCCGGCCUUCCUGGGAGAAGGGAUGCGGGUUUCCCAAUACAAAGAGGUUGAAAAACGCCACUUUGCAGCCCCACGAGCUCCAGGCGGCGUGCGAUGCGGGCACGAGGCUCCGCAGCAGCGCCUGGCCUGCAGUGCCCGCACAGCCCGCCGGUGGGACGGCUGUGUGCUGGUGGCUGUGUGCUGAUGGGACGGCUGUGUUUGAGGGAUUGCAUCACCGUGGGCUUCUGAGCGGCUCCGAACUCAAGAUGCAUAUUUUAAAUCUCCCCUGCUGUUGCCGAUAAUUUGUUCCAUAUUUACCGUGUUACUUAGUAUUUGCAAAUGGGUUGGGCUUUUUUAGAAUGUAAAUGUUAAUUAAAUUACGGAGCUGUGGGCACGGCAGGUCGGACUCACGGCUGACCCUUCGUGCUGCUGCAGUCUGUGCCCUCAGCGUUCGGUGCUGUUGACUUCCCUCCACAUCCAGCCGUUGCACCUGAAAAAAGCCGGUGCUCUCUUUGCUGUGUGAACUCAGACAGAACUGGUGCUGCGCUGUGUUUCGUGCCACCAUUGACUCCUGGAGGCUUUCAAAGGAUGGGGCUAUGAAACUGCAUUGUUUGUUAAAAUGUAAAUAGCUGAUAUGUAGAAUGUGCUGUUCUGGACUUAAUCAAAGAGCACAGUCCUUAUGAUAUCCGUGUCUGUGAGGAGAGGAUUGGGUAAGAGUUUAGGUAAAAUAAAGUAAGAUAAAAGGUUUAAUACCACGGGCUUUUAAAACCACAUUUACUCAGCAGGAGUCUGAACGGUAAUAUUGUUCCUUAAGUAAAUCUUAGCAAACUUGCACUAUAUCAGAAAAAGGAGUGUUUCAGAAGAAAGCUGUCUCAAGCACACAUCUCCUGUGUUCUGUGGCACUUUCAUCCAGUGUCCAGUAUUGUAUUUUUAAAAUCAACUGGAGAAAGCAAUAGUAGAACUAGAAUAGACUGUCCUUUAUGCACUCGAUGAUAACUUUCACUUUGGAGCGAGUAUGAAACCAAUGCAUUUCAUGCUCAUGGGCCUGCUAAUGAGCAAGCUGGUGAGAGCUCCAUUGUUUUUAUGGCAGACAGAUUUAUUAUUUUACUUUCAACAUAUUAUAUAUUAUUUGUUAAAUCUGUUUACAGAAAAUCAGUUGAACCAAUGCUGAGAAAAAAUAUUUUCCUUUUGGCAACUAAUUUUAAAAACAAACUGAGGCUUCACUUCAGCGUCCACUGAAGCCACAAAAGUAGAGACAGGUCAGCUGUCUUGAGCGUCAGAUCCCUGAUUGCUGUCCACGUUGGCAGUAAGUUUUCAGCUUAACAAUCUCAUUUGAAGUAGCAAAUUCUGCCCGUGGAAGAUUCUUUUUGUACUGGGGCAGUUUUUAAAUUUAAAAGUACUUUUUGAAUGCUUUUUCACACUGGAUGAUACUGUGUAGGUGUUUCUACUUCAGUAUGAAAUCUGUGGGAAAAGAACCAGUUGUCCCCAUUCCCUUGUAAGUUCACCACAUCUGCAUUUGGUAUGUUCAGCAUAGGUUGUUCCAGUCUUGAUGACGUAACAGGUGUCUCCUCUGCUUUAAUGCAUUUAGAAAGUAUUUCAGCAGACACUGUUACGUGGUCUUAAUAGCCUGCAUGUUGGCAGCCACUGAAACGAGGCAUAAUUCACCCUUAAUAGUUAUGGAGUCCACAAAUUCUGCCACGUGAUGCUCAACAGUUUACUACCAACAUUGUAUUUUCUGGACUUUCAUAACACAUAGUAACUGCCCUUUUGAGAUAAAAAUCAACAGCUGUGGGAAGACUGGUGCAGCUGGGCUGUGUGUGUUCUGUCAUUUCUGUCCCAGUCUCAGUCUGCUGAGUUCUGCUGGAAAAGGCUGUGUGACCUCACCACCCCACGCUCACCUGCUGUGCCUGCAGCAAACCUCCAUCCCUGGUGCUGUGCACUGCAGCCAGCAACCAGGGGACACCUGUGGGAAGGAUGUGAGAAAGCUAUCGGCAGUCUGAGUGAUCUUGACUUAAAUGGUGCAGCUUGAGCAAAUACACAGCUCCGGCUCUGUCUGUACUCUCUUCCUGGUGAGAAGGCACAGGCUGAAAGUGCAAAUAAGCAGAGUUUGAUGAUACUUUGGUGUGAAAUGAUGGGGGACAGGCAAAAACACUUAGAGGAGCUCUAAGGCUACAGAAUAAACGGAACCUCAUGUUUGGAAAUGAAGUUGAGACAGCACAUCACUUUCUGAAAGAAGUGAAGGGCGCUGGAAUUUGGAUGGCCCCGGUAAGAGCAGUGCACAGAUAAGAGCUCUUCUGGGAUUGCGUUUGGCAGGGCCAGAUGUUGGCAGAACUCAGCUGGCGUCGAGUGCUUUAAAAAUCCCACCCUGGCCCUUUUAGUUCUCUGGGAGUGCAUUGCCCCAGGCUGCGUGACUUCACACAGCAGCACACUUUUAAGCACUUCCAUGCUGGUUUGCAGUAUUGAUUGGUGCUCUCCUCACAUGCUCUUCCUUUUUCAUCUGUAGGAAGGUUCAUAAAUUAUCAGUUCGUGUUUGUUUUGCUUAGGUGAUUUCUUUAAACAUGCAUAGACUUAGGCAUUUAGUCAGUGUCUUUGUCUCUUUAAAGACAUUUGCUCUUGUAUACUCUCACUAUUAGCCUUUGGCUAAUGGUAUGGCACUACUUGCCAUAAGGACUGCCUGCUUGCUACGCUUGCUGGCCACGUAGGUGCCUCUUCUUCCCCAUUUCAGGUUCUCCUACAGAACUUUGUUGGCCACAGUGAACAGUUAAGUAGCUAAAUGCCUAUUCAACGAGUGCCUUGCCAAGUUAGCAGUGCAGGCAUAUUUUUGUAAAGAAAUAUGCAGCUCGACUUGUGGUGGCCAUUGAGAAGCUGAGCUGCAAAAACAUCAACACCACAAGGACACAAUAUUUUUCUCCUGAUUACAACACGCUCAUUUAUUUUGGAAUUCUUAUGCCAGCUGAGGACUACAGGGCAGUGACAGUACAAGAGUUGUCCAGAUGCCAAGGAAAAGAGAGAGCUGUAUAUGUACUCCUGUUCUGAAAUGGUGGAGGGAAGGGAGAAAGGCUGCGUGAGGAUUUGAAAGAAUACAUUUCCAUAAACGUUUUCAAGGGAUCCCACAGACUGCUCCUGCAGCAGAUACCUGCCGUGCUUGGAAGCUGUGUGUGAGAUCUGACUGAUGCUGAAUUCUCAACUAGUGUUCACUUGAAGAGAAUGCAGAGAUCUGCAGGUUCAGAACAACUGUUCUUUUUUUUUUUUUUUCCCUUUCUUUUAAAAUUAAGAGAAGUGCUUACAUUUCAAAUGAGCUGUGAAAGCCAUCGCAGAAGGUUCUUGUGGGAGCAGUCCACAGCUGGGGAGACAGUGGUUCUACUGCCCCACUGGGUUGUUUGGGAGCAAUGCAAAGAAUAAACAAACAGCUGGAGGCUUGGCUUUGUUUCAUGUGGAAAACGCAAAUCAUGCCUUACUGUGGUACAUGUAAGACAGUGAGUGGUUUUGCCCCUUAAUAUAUGAUCCUCUCUGUUUGAAGGCCUCUCUAUCAUUCAGUGUCCUUUGAAGCCUUUCGAUUCCCUGGCAGCUCUCAGCAGUGACUUUUUGAAAGAGACUGCGUCCAUCGGAACGCACAGCAUCGGGCGUGGGCUGGGCAGGCUGCAGGACCUCACCACAGCACCUUUAUCUGCAAAACACUUGAGCCAAGCACAGGUGUGCUGCAGCAGUCCAGCACAGCAUGUCUUCUGUUGUGCUCCCUCUUGGUUUUAGAUCAGACUGUGCACUUUUGUAGGGGCAGGGACUGCCUUUUUUCUUAUGCAUUGGUACAAUACCAAACAUGGCUGCUCCAUGUCUGAGCUCUGAGAUACGACAACAAAUCUUUGAGAGGAUAUAUAUGCUAUCUUAAUGGCAUCAUCAUGGGUGUGAUGUCACUGUUGUGGUUGGAGAAGAAAGACAUAGAUGGUCUACAGACAAAAUUACUGAGUAUCCCCUGAUUGUGGGUGUGCUUAUCCAAGCCACCUAAGAGCUGACAUUUCAUAUCAGUACUUUAUAUGUUCAAAGCACAGUUCCAGCUGGCUUGAAUUGCAGCUGUUCUGAACGCACUCCCUGCUAUGAACAGAGACUCAACUGAGGCUGCAUAGCUUAAGCAUUGUAGAAAAUGAGGCAUAUCCAUCAAGUGGCCACCUGUGAAAAGCUUUCAGUGCUGUGCAUGCUGCCACACUGGGAUUCUUUGGCAGAACACGGGGAGAGAAUUUGUUUUGCUGGAAUGAUGUUCAGUUCCUGCACUGCUUUGCUCAGAGUCUCCCUUUGCACUGUACCACUGUCAGGUGUGUGAGCAGCAAGCUCUGGGGCACAAAGCAAGUCCACCCAGUCACAAAGACAUCCACAGCCUUGGCUCAGGUGUGAGAGCAGUCCUGGGAGUGUUUCUCAGACACUAAGGGACCUGGUACAGCGUGAUUUAUUGCCACGGGUGUGUUUGUUCCAUGCUCUCACAUAGGCCCUUCAGGCUCGCUGCUCUGCAUAGCGCUCUCUGCCCUGCUCAGGGGGCUGCACAGGAACCGCUCCCCAGUGCUGGUGUGGAGGAACAGCAGCAAUUCAGAUGCAAAGUAGGAAAUUCUACCAACGGUUACGUUAAAUUUAGAAGGCUGCUUCUAAACUAAUUUUUGUCUGUGUGGUGUUUCCUUUCUGUGAGGAUUACUUUGAGUACUUGUGCAGAGAGUAAUCAGUAUUCCUCCCUGCACAGCUGUUCCCUGUAGCUGCAUUCUUAGUCCUUUGCACUCACCACCAGUCAGCAGGUCCACUGCCAGCAGCAGCACGUCUGCCACUGCCUUCUGUGUGGCUGGGAUCAGCCCUUCUCACUGACAGAUAACUCCACUGCAAUGAAAUCAGAUGCCGUGAGGCUCUGCAGCCUCUCUGCCAGUAUUUCACUGUGAUAAAAGACAUGAAUUGUCCUAAGUGAGGACUGCUCAGUUUUGCUGUUUUCUGACCUUGUGGUGGCCAGUUCUGUACUCUGUGUGCCUGUGUGCUUUCAUCUGCCUUUUCCCUCUUUUUUAUCUCUGUUGUCCACUGAGAUGGUCCAGUAUGUGGGGCCUGAAGUGCCUUCAGCACAUACACAAUGCCUGCUGCAAAGCAAUCCUGCUUACAGGGCACCAGUGUUCACCGAUAUCUUUAGCUGAGAAAGCAAAGUGAGCGACUGAAAGAAGCUGAACUCAACAACAGUCACUGAGCACGUGUCAAGUGCACAUAUCACAACGCAGAAAAUGAGCACCAGUUUGUAUGAAAUCUGUUGGAUUGCCUUUCUGCAGUCUGUGAUAAAUCUCCAUAUGAAAUCACAGCUAUCCUUGCGUACCCCUCCACAUGUUCACACAAGGUUUCGAGAGCAGCCUUUCAACAAGGAGCUGCUAUUUUCCUGUGUUCUUAGUCCAUAAUACAAGCUGUUACCUCCUUUUACAAAUGUUUGUUUGCCCACUGAAUGAGCCAAUCAGACCAAAGUCAGCUUCCAUUAUGAGCACUGUCUGGCAGUGUUCUGGGUUCUACCUAGGAUCUCAGAACUGUGAAUUCAGUUCUGGGGCCUGAGCAAGCACACACAGUUGCAUCUAGCUCCUGCUGGAAAGAUUUAUCAGACAGAGGUGACAUCUUUGACCCAGUUUUGUCCUGCCGGGGUUUCUCUGAACACCUCCACGAGCUGCAGAGGGAGAGGAGUUGUCCCAGCACCAGUGUGUUCAGAGCUGUGCCUCCAGAGUCCCAGCAGGGCAGCUGCAUGCUUCUUCUCUCCUCAUCAGCGCUGUGACCCUGCAGGAGCAGCAUCUCCAGCAAGCCCACAUUGGCUUCCUGUGUGCCUUGAAAGUUGUAUUUGCUUUGUCUACUGAAAAAACACAUUUUUACUACUGUCAGCACUCCAGAACCAAUAAAUUUGAGGCAAAGGGAGUUGUUUCCUCCUCUGCACCAGGCACCAUUGCCAGUAGAGUGACCAGCUUGGUCCUGCCUGAGCUGCUGGCCUCUGUCCCUAUCCCAGGCAGGGCUGGCAUCAUGCACCAGCUCUGGAUCAGGCCCUUUACCUCUGGGUUUCAUUUAUUGCUGUUUUCAGCAAACCCUGAACUAAACCAAUUUGAUGGGGAUCCAAAUCUCUUUUCCCUCUGACCCAGAGGCUUCUGGCAGAGCUGUUACUGGCAGCUCUCCCCAUCCUGCUAUCAGCCAUUCCACCGAGAAAUUCUUGGGCCGUGAGUGACUUCUGUCACUUCUGCUUUCCUCGAGCUCGUGCGGCCUCGCCAGCAGCGCGGUGCUCCUUGCAGACACCUGGCCUGGCGCAGGCACAGCACGGAGCAACCCGCUCUUCCUGCAGCCCCACAGCUGCAGUGCGGCACGGGAGGGUCAGGGCUCCCCGUGGUUUUGAGUGUAGAACCUGAAGCACACAGCUGGCAUGAACAGGCAGGACACAGGCUUCGUAGGCUUUAUUUUUAGACUCUGAGACUGGUCGUUAAAAAAACUGUUUUCAAGUACCAACAGAGUAAAACUGAAUUUGUUAUGAAAGCAGAAAUACAGGAUGUCAGGAAGUAACUUCAGAAUUUUUGCUUUCUCUUCAAAGGAGUUAUUUUAACCUGUUGUUGUUUUUGUGUCUUUGUGUUUAAACAAGGUGGCUUGAAAGCAAAUUCAGAAAUAUUUGCAGUGACUUACAGGUUGCUUUCCCUGUCUGCUCCUUGGCAGCAUUGCGGUACACAAUGAGGAGGAACUGGCCCACACCAGUGGCCACUUUCCCAGCAGUUUCAUUGGGGAAAAAUCUGAUCUAACCUAAUAUUUGACUGCUUUCAUAAAAAUCCUUUACAAAGAAGUAUGGCAACGAAGACUCCCUGAAAAGAAGGAGAAGGGAGGUUGGGAUCCAAGGAGGAGCGGUUUCGCUCUUCCUCAUCCACUUAAUACCGCACAUUUCUAACUGUAGAACUCACAGCCUGAAUGCAAUCCCUCCCAAAAGAGCUCCACAGCGAAACGAGGCCGGCUUCAGGUGGGAAGGCAGUGAGGGCGGAGAGCACAGCACCUAGUUCACUGUCAGCCUCCUUUUCUGGCACAUGGCUUGGGUCAGUUUUCCACCUUCUUCAUGUCAUUGUGUUGAGUUCAGCCUAGGGAGUGAAAAUAGAUGAUAAAAUACAGUUAAUUUUUAGAAAAGCAGAUGAACGUGGGUAAUACAAUCAACGUAUUACAUUCAUUAAGAUCCUAAAUGUGAAGAGCAGCGUUUUAACAAAUGCAUGAAUAAUUUAAAAGUGGCUGAGCUUCAGUCCGUUAAACUCAGGCUCCUAAGUGUCUACACAGCCCGUAGGAUUCCAGCACUGUAGGACGUUUUACUCCCGUCCUCACGGAGCGCUCACUGACCCUGCCUGCAUGCCGACCGUGCCUCGCGAUGCUUUUUGUGACACAGCACUUCUGCAGUAGAAACGACGUUUGGUGUCAGUCUGUAAAACCGCUCCACGUGCGUAACGUCGAGGCAGCGUUUUGGCAACGCGACAGUGUUUCCGACGGAGCAGCCCCGAGCGCGGCCGUGGGGCC